rnacentral:rRNA from 1 species
GUGAGUAGUUCAGAGUUUGAUCCUGGCGUCAGGAUGAACGCUAGCGGCAGGCUUAACACAUGCAAGUCGAGGGGCAGCAUAGAGGUUAGCAAUAACUUCUGAUGGCGACCGGCGCAAGGGUGCGUAACGCGUGAGCAACUUGCCCUUAUCAGGGGAUAACCAAUGGAAACGUUGACUAAUACCCCAUAGUAUAACAUUAAGGCAUCUUUUUGUUAUUAAAGAAUUUCGGAUAAGGAUAGGCUCGCGUGACAUUAGCUAGAUGGCGGGGUAACGGCCCACCAUGGCGACGAUGUCUAGGGGUUCUGAGAGGAAGGUCCCCCACACUGGAACUGAGACACGGUCCAG